rnacentral:rRNA from 1 species
GAGUCGGACCUGCCCGGUGAAUAUAUUUUUAACGGCCGCGGUACUCUGACCGUGCAAAGGUAGCAUAAUCACUUGCCCUAUAAUUGAGGGCUAGUAUGAAUGGUUUGACGUGAACAAAGCUGUCUCUAUAUAAUUUUUUAGAACUUGAUUUCUAGGUGAGGAAUCCUAGAUAUUAUUGAUAGACAAGAAGACCCUAUUGAGCUUUAAAAGCAUAAAUUGAAAAAAAUGUAUAACUUUAAAUAUCAGUCUAUUUUGAAUUUUGGUUGGGGCGACUAUAGAACAAGUAAAGCUUCUUUACGAUUGAUAAGACCGGCAAGUGUUGAUCCAAAAAUCUUGAUUAAUGGAAUUAGUUACCAUAGGGAUAACAGCAUAAUUCUCUUUGAGAGUCCUUAUCGAAAAGAGAGUUUGUGACCUCGAUGUUGGACUAGAAUAUCCUAAAGAUGCAGCAGUCUUUAAGGGUUGGUC